CCGACCAUAGCUCAGUUGGAAGAGCACAAGACUGUAAUUGGUUCACUUAUCUUGGGGUCGCCUGUUCGAACCAGGCUGGUCGGA